GGCGGGGUGCGGCGAGGUUUGCGGUUGCCAGGAGCCAGCUGCUCUCUGGCGGGGAGCGUCGCGGCGUGCUCUGGGCAGGGAACUUGGGUGCGCUGGGCCCGCCCGCCCCGUAUCCACGCUCCUUGUGGGCCUCGGAGCAGUACAAUAUUAAGAUGGAGGACUAUGAGGAGUUCUGUGAAAAGCAUCUUGCCAGGAUCCAAGGAGAGUCAAUUCAAAGGGAAACCUCUUCAUCUGCUCAGAAGAAUAUCUCACUUAUUCAAUUCUAUGGCAUUCCUGUGCUUUCACCUCUGCUGAGUCUUGAGAGAAAAAAGGAAAUGCAUCAAGAUAAACAAAAAGCAAUUGAUAUAGAGAUCUGGAAGCAGAAUUCCAGGAAAAGAGCUUUACUGAAUCGUGUUCAGGAGAUCCUGGAAAACGUGCAGGUCAGAAAGGUGUCUGGUAUGAGUGAUUUGGAUCAGUGGGAGCCUGAGAGUGGUCACUCUAAUUCAGAAUCAAAAGCCUCAGAUGGCUUCGCAAUGCUAUCAAAUAUCAAUUUGUCAAGUUCUAUUACAUGCAGUGGUACUACAGAUCUUGAAAAAACAUUGGAAAUUGUGCCAGCUAUCCAGAUUACAUCAAGUGGAAUAGACUCAGUUAGAGGCACAGAAGAACAUAUUCCUCCUGAACAAAGUGAGAAUAACCUCUCAGAAAAUAUUGCUUGUCCGAAGGUUACAUCUCCUGAUAAAACACAAAAUAUGACUACUUCAAAUGCACAUGUAAACCAAGAGCAUACAGAGGUGCCACCAGAUGGUGAGGAAGUACCUGAUCCUUAUGUAAUGAGUCUUCAAAAUCUUCUGAAAAAGUCUAGGGAGUAUAUAGAGAGAGAGCAAACCAGACGUAGCUUAAGAAGUAAUUCAAAAAGAAGUAUUAAUGAAAGUCUUUCAGAUAAAGAAAAUGAUGCAGUUAAAACAAAUCUCUCUGGGAAAGAGAGAGCGAGGUUUACAGGCAGGAACUGUACUCCUCUGACACUUGAUAAACCAAGUCUUAAUAAAUCAAAUAUUCUUCUUCAAGGUGCCUCUGCCCAAGUAAAUAGCACGCGUACAUCAGCUUUACCCAGUUUUUCUAAAGUGGAUAUACCUACCAGAGCUGGAACACCCCCAGUUUUGGAUUCGGAUUCAGAUGAAGAGUUUAAAAACACCUCUACCUUUGAUAAUGACAGUAGUAUUGUCAGAAGCCUUACAGGUUCUUAUGCCAAAUUACCCAGCCCGGAGCCAAGUAUGAGCCCUAAAAUGCACCGAAGACGUCCAAGACCUUCAUCAAUGGGACACAUAGUUAUCAAUAACCCUGUGAAUGCCUAUGAAUUAAGCCCUAUAAACAAGGGAAGAGCAAUUGACUUGAUCAUACAAGAUGCCACUGAUCAAACCAAUGCAUCUGAACCUGUGCCAAAAUUCACUGCUGACUUCACUGCAGUUUGUUCGAGCAAAGCUCAUGUUGACAACACGAAUUCUUCAGAGACUUCAAAUCACAUGUGUCAGCAUUCCAUUAGUCAACUAGAGAGCAAAGGAAUGAUGGUGUCUUCCAUAAUGGAGGGAAAGCUGGAAGGUAGAAGGCCAUACAAAAUGGACAGUACCACUUGUACUGCAACUCCAAAAUUGCAUGAGUCAUAUGCAGUCAGUCAGUCAAUGGUGACUCAAAAGCUCGUAACUAUGAAUGGACUCAAGCCAGAUAGUUUAUUAGAAAACACCGAAAGUAAUUCACCCGUGGAACUCAAUAAAUCUUAUGAUGUAGAAAAUCCAUCUCCAUUACUGAUACAAAGCCAGAAUAAGCAUCAGCAGAUGGAUACUCCAAAUGUUUCUUCUGGAAAUGAACAGUUUGUAGAAAAUGGUCUUGAAAAAGUGAAACGUAGGCUUGAUUUGGAUAUUGAUAGUUCACAGAAAGAGAACAACCCAUAUGUUUUAACAGAUGGAACAGAAGAACAAGAGAAGUGGAGGUUGCAAGACCGAAGAUGCCCCAUAGGAUCUGUUUAUUGUAACAAGAAUGAAACCUCGGGCAGUAGUACUAAUGAAGAAGAGAUUUUGAAAAAUAAACUGUUGGCUUUUGAAGAAAUGAGGAAGAGACUUGAAGAGCAUCAUGCACAACAACUAUCCGUACUGAUAGCUGAACAAGAGAGAGAACAGGAGAAAUUACAGAAGACUUUUAAUCUGCAGGAGAUAGAAGAGCAGGAGAGAAGGUUAAAAGGAAAGAAGAGUGCUACAGCAGACAUAGAAAUACCCAAAAUGACCAUUAGCAGUGGGAUGGAACUGGAAUGGAGAAAAAUAAGCGAAAGUGGCUUGCUGGAAACAAUGCUGACUCAAGUGGAGACAAUCCAUAACACAAACUCGAAUAGCACUGGUAAAAGUUUUGCCAACACUACCAUACCCAGUAGUUUUGGUUCAACAAAUGAAGCUCCAUUCUACCUCUGGGGACCAUCUGGUAGUGGAAUGUCAAAAAUAUCAGCAUCCAGGCUUAUUAGGGCCAAAACCAGGUGGUCUCAGGCCUUCAGUCCAGAGAUGCAAAUGAAGUUCAGUAAGAUCACUGCCUUGGCAAAGGGAUUUCUGACUCGUAGGCUCAUGCAAACAGAAAAAUUGAAAUAUCUUAGGCAAACCGUAAAAGAUACUAUGGAGUUCAUAAAAAUUUUUCAGUCUGAAGCUCCCUUAAAGAGAGGAACUGUUUCGGUGCAAGAUGCAUCCCUACAAGAAAGAGUGAUGGCUCAACUGCGAGCUGCGCUGUAUGACAUCCAUGAUAUAUUCUUUAUAAUGGAAGUAUCUGAAAGAAUGCAUAUCCUGCGUCAUGAUCGUGAAGUUCGCAAAGAGAAAAUGCUGAGGCAAAUGGCUAAAAUAAAGACUCCACGAGAGAGAGUGACACUUUCGACAGCUACGCAGAAGUCUCUGGAUAGGAAGAAGUACAUGAAGGCUUCAGAAAUGGGAAUGCCAAAUAAAAAAUUAAUCCCAAAACAAAAUACUCCUGAAGCAAGAGUACUUCAGCCAAAUCAAGGACAAAAUACUCCAGUUCAUAGGCUUCUUUGCAGGCAAGGUUAUAGGUGUUUUGGAGUAGCAGGAAAGCAAGGGGAACACUUACUGAGGAAGAAAAUGCUAUAAUGUAUAGUUAUUUACAAGCCUUUUUACAACUCGAAUAACCUGUUUUAUUCAUUUUAAGGAGUAUAUGCAGGAAGAAUCCAAAGAAAGAAGCCAAAUGUUGUGACAAUUUAAGACGACAGCACUCACUCGGAUGAAAAAAAAAAGGCUAUUUUAAUGCAAUAGUCUCUUCACCAUUGGUUCAGAUCUUGCAUCUCCUAUAUGUAUGCUUUGAAUUGACAAACGUACACACUUAACAUAACAUUUUGCAUAUUUUAAGGACAUACAGUAGAUUUUUAUGGAAUGAUGUUAAAGUAAUGGAGAAGGCUACAAAUAAGUUCAUUUCUUAUACUCAUGAAAAUUGCAUGGUACAAACCUGUUAGGUUUUCAGAUUACUGCAUACAUAUGUCCACAUUCAAAAAGCUUUGCUAUAGAGAAGAAUAUAGUGCAACAUUAUGUUUGUUUGUAUCUUUUUGCCAUCUCUCUGACUUAUUCUUGUAUCUGUCAUGCACUUUUUUGUACUCUCGGAAAUAUAUUUACAAUUGCAGUUCAGACACGGUAGUCUGCAUAACUGAUUUCCUAUAUGUGUACUUAUUUUAGCCUUUUACCCUAAAGUUAGAGAAGUUACACAAAGAAAAGAUAACUUAUUCAACUGUAAAAAUACUGUGUGUUUUUCCUCUGUGUAUUUGUUUGAGAGCAGCAUCGCUGAGUGUAUCAUCACAUAUGAAUGUGUUAACCUGUCAAUUUAAAUACUAAUGACUGAUAUUGUUAAACUCAUUUCUGUUGACUGUGUUUCAGACAUGGACCUGAAUUAAUUGCUGGCAUAAAUGUGCAAUUCCAUGUACAUGAAUGAAGUCGCCCCUGUUCACACGGGUGGUGAAUUUAGGCCACUAUGAUGAAACAUUCCAGGCAAUUUUUCCUCCAUACUGUUUACUGCAUUUUCUAAUUCCAAACUAUAUUUUGAUCAAGAUGAAAUAUAAUUAAGAUGUAGCAAUUCUAUGACACUGUGUACAAGAGUUCCAGAAGGAAAGACUUUGUUUGCCGCUUCAGACUUUAAUGUCCUCAGCAGUCAUACAGAUGACUGUUUCAUACCAUUAUGUGUCUUACUGUUUUAUUUUUGACAUUCCUAGAUCUACUUUAUUGUCUAAACAAGUAACUUGGAACAGUUUUUUUUUUUAAAUAAAAAAUAAUCUGUCAUUAGUAAUAGAUCCAAGCACUGAAGCCAUGCUUCCAUGUUCUGAGUCCCUAAAACUUUGCAAGACUUAACCUCCAAAAUACAUGCUCCUGUUUGCCCCUGUCUUUUUGGCUAUUUCAGCCAUUAUGAACAUGCUUCUUUAAAGAGAGGCUGCUUAGUAAUUUUAAUCUUGAUAAUGAGCUUCUUUGAAACUUUCCUUGGUUUUCAAAUAAAAUAGUGAAAAUCUUU